UGCCAGCAGCCGCGGUAAUAUGGACAGUGCGUGCGUUAAUCGGAAUCACUGGGCGUAAGGCGUACGUAGGUGGCAAAGUCAGUCAGGCGUGAAAGCCCUCGGCUCAACCGAGGAAUUGCGUUUGAUACUACUUUGCUAGAGUCUCGGAGAGGUUGGCGGGAUUCCAGGUGUAGGAGUGAAAUCCGUAGAUAUCUGGAGGAACACCAGUGGCGAAGGCGGCCAACUGGACGAGUACUGACACUGCGGUACCAAAGCGUGGGUAGCAAACAGGAUUAGAUA
rnacentral:rRNA from 1 species